ACUAACAAGGAUUCCCCUAGUAACUGCGAGUGAAGCGGGAAAAGCUCAAAUUUAAAAUCUGGCGGCUUUGGUCGUCCGAGUUGUAUCCUAGAGAAGUGUUUUCCGCGUUGGACCGUGUAUAAGUCUCUUGGAACAGAGCGUCAUAGAGGGUGAGAAUCCCGUCUUUGACACGGACUACCAAUGCUUUGUGAUACACUCUCAAAGAGUCGAGUUGUUUGGGAAUGCAGCUCAAAAUGGGUGGUAAAUUCCAUCUAAAGCUAAAUAUUGGCGAGAGACCGAUAGCGAACAAGUACCGUGAGGGAAAGAUGAAAAGCACUUUGGAAAGAGAGUUAAACAGUACGUGAAAUUGCUGAAAGGGAAACGAUUGAAGUCAGUCGCGUUAGCUAGAACUCAACCAGGCUUGCUUGGCGUAUUUUCUAGUUAACGGGCCAGCAUCAGUUUUGACCGCAGGAAAAAGGCCAGAGAAAUGUGGCACCCUCGGGUGUGUUAUAGUCUUUGGUCAUAUACUGCGAUUGGGACUGAGGUUCGCAGCACGCGCAAGCUGUGCUUAGGAUGCUGGCGUAAUGGCUUUAAACGAC
rnacentral:rRNA from 2 species